CAUUCUGUUCAUAUGAUGUGAUAAUAUGCAGAAUCUGAAACUGAAACUGGUUAUUAUAUUUAUACAACUUUAAAAGUAAUAUAGCAAAAUCUGAAACCGAGGAUUUAGCCGUUAGUGACUCUUACCAGUCGUCAACUGGAAGGAGAUGAAGAUGAGAGAUUUUUGUGUAACAGGUGGCACCAUUAGGGGUCGCUGUCUCUACAGCCUGAAGCUAGAAGGAUGGUGGUGAAGCAUCAAUUUCCUGUCAGACCAGUUUUGUGUUGUUUGUUGUUUGCUGGCUGUGGACUGCAGUGCUGAUGGUGUUCAGGUGGUGGCGUUACCUGGGCGUGGUUGUUCGACGCCACAGAAAAGAAAACCCAGCAAACAUCUGCAGAGCGGCGUUGGUCAUCAUCUGUACUAAAUAAAGACAGAAGAAGAAGAAGCUCCGCCAACCUCCUGCUGCCACCAGGAGUUAAUUAUAAGAUUUUCCACUUCUUCUGGUCUCAGGCUCCUCCUUUCUGUCCAGAACUUCAGCAGAGCAAACUGGGCCGCACUCAGCUGUUACACAACUCCCACAGAGCUUGUUUGUGUAGCACUGGGCCAUUGUUGGUCACCCAGUGAGCACUGGGAACUGAACUGGGAGGGGGCAUGAAACCAGUGGUUGCUUCAGUUCCCAACUCCAAGCAGAGAGGAUUCAGUCCAACAAUGUUCAGCUCCACCGGUCCGAACGGAUUCACCGCAGAGCAAAGGAACCAAGAACCGGAUCGGCUGGACUGACGCUGCAACCGCUCCGACAUUUUACUUUGUUAGAAACUAAAUCCAACAUUU